AACGCGAAGAACCUUACCCAGGCUCGAAAUGUAGUGGACGAUUACAGAGAUGUAAUUUCCCGCAAGGGCUGCUAUAUAGGUGCUGCAUGGCUGUCGUCAGCUCGUGCCGUGAGGUGUUGGGUUAAGUCCCGCAACGAGCGCAACCCUUAUCAUUAGUUGCCAACAUUUAAGGUGGGAACUCUAAUGAGACUGCCUAGGUUAACUAGGAGGAAGGUGAGGAUGACGUCAAGUCCGCAUGGCCUUUAUGUCUGGGGCUACACACGUGCUACAAUGGUCGGUACAGAAGGCAGCGAAGUCGUAAGAUGGAGCAAAUCCGUAAAGCCGAUCUCAGUUCAGAUUGUGGUCUGCAACUCGACCACAUGAAGUUGGAAUUGCUAGUAAUGACGUGUCAGCAACAACGUCGUGAAUACGUUCCCGGGCCUUGUACACACCGACGCAC
rnacentral:rRNA from 1 species